GACGAACGCUGGCGGCGUGCUUAACACAUGCAAGUCGAACGGUGAACCUGCUUCGGUGGGGGAUCAGUGGCGAACGGGUGAGUAACACGUGGGCAACCUGCCCUCAGCUCUGGGAUAACUCCAAGAAAUUGGGGCUAAUACUGGAUAUGACCGCUGACCGCAUGGUCUGGUGGUGGAAAGAUUUAUCGGCUGGGGAUGGGCCCGCGGCCUAUCAGCUUGUUGGUGGGGUAGUGGCCUACCAAGGCGACGACGGGUAGCCGGCCUGAGAGGGUGACCGGCCACACUGGGACUGAGACACGGCCCAGACUCCUACGGGAGGCAGCAGUGGGGAAUAUUGCGCAAUGGGCGAAAGCCUGACGCAGCGACGCCGCGUGGGGGAUGACGGCCUUCGGGUUGUAAACCUCUUUCAACAGGGACGAAGCGAAAGUGACGGUACCUGCAGAAGAAGCACCGGCCAACUACGUG
rnacentral:rRNA from 1 species